rnacentral:rRNA from 1 species
AUGGGAGACCGCCUGGGAUACCAGGUGCUGUAAGCCUUUUC